GACGAACCGUGCGAACGUUGUUCGGAAUUACUGGGCGUAAAGCGCGUGUAGGCGGUUGUCCAAGUUGGAUGUGAAAGCCUUGAGCUUAACUCAAGAAAUGCAUUCAGGACUGGAUGACUAGAGGACCGGAGAGGAUAGUGGAAUUCCCAGUGUAGUGGUGAAAUACGUAGAGAUUGGGAAGAACACCAGUGGCGAAGGCGGCUAUCUGGACGGUUUCUGACGCUAAGACGCGAAAGCGUGGGGAGCAAACAGG
rnacentral:rRNA from 1 species